rnacentral:snRNA from 1 species
AUCACUUCCCAGUCUUUUGAAUAAGAUCAAGCGUAGUAUCUGUUCUUAUCAGUUUAAUACCUGAUACAUCCUCUAUCUGAGGACACUAUAUUAAAUGGAUUUUUGUAGCAGGGAGUUGGAAUAGGAGCUUGCUCCACCCACUCCAAGCAUCAGCCUGGUAUUUCAGUACUUAUGGUGCAUCCUCU